GGUGGCCCCGCCCUCAGGGUCCUGGCCCUGCCAACUGUGAAAAAGUUCCAGGGGACCAGAAGUCUUAGACUGGCUACUACCCACGACCGCUCACUCGAGACCUGCCGAUCUUUGGUGUCAUUGACAGUUAUCGGAGGGGUGAAAUUUGGGCCAGGGACCCCUCCCCCUUGUCCCAGUGGAGAGGCCCAUUUCUCCCACAUACAGAAAGGUAACCCAGAGGGACAGAGGUCAGUCACUCCAGGAUUUAUUGCAACACUUGAUUUGGGUCACCAUCACCUGGUAUGGUUAAGCCUGUGGGUAGGUCCUUGAGACACAGCCUCAAUGGCCAUGUGUGGUAUGGCCCAACAGCGGGUUCUGGAUUUGUAUUAGGUGAAAAUCAGGCUGGCUGAUCCCUCUGUUUGCAUUGGGAAUUCCCCAACUUUCUGGCAUCAGGAACAGCAGAGUUCAGGAUGGUCAAGUCUGUGUGUUUGUGUUUCUAAUACGUGGACAGGGAUCUCGGUCCCACAGCAGGUCAGCCCAGUUGCCACCCACUGCUGCUCGGCCAGGCACAACGCGUGAUAUGUUCUUAGGCCACAUAGAACUAGGCUAGUCCUAGGAGUAAAGAUUAUGUCCCCCUGGCCUGUACCCGCCCCCUUGGAAGUGGUGUUCCCAGCCCACGUGUCAGGACGCCAUGAAAUCGUUGUGCCCAUUUCAGUGGCCGUAACCGCCUCUCCACCUGUACCUACUGCACCCAGAAGUGUGUCCAAAAGGGUCAUUGCCAGAGGACCAGGGACUUUUCGUGAGCCCACGUGCCUUAGGAAGGCAGUUUGGUCACUGAAUGUGCCAUUCCCAGAAAGGAAACCUGUCUCUGCCACUUCUGGGUAAUGAUGGGACAGGGGGGUGGAAAGUUACAUGAACUCUUCCGGAUUCCAGCCUGAGCAUGGUGCUUUCUGUCUUCUAACAGCAACUGCAGGCCAGCCGAAAAGGGCCAGAGGAUUAAAUCUAAGUCGUCUUCACCUGGAUUCUCUCUUUGGAUUGAUACGGUUCUAGAUCAGGAGCUGACAGAUUAUAGCGUAUGGGCAAAAUGCAGUUUGCUGUCUGUUUAUGCAGCCUCUGAAAAUAUGUACGAGGCCAUUAGACUGGGCGACUCUCAUGCCUUGGGAACUACACAAGCAGAUCAAGAGCUAAGCCAGAGUCCGUUCCUGUAAAUGCACUCCUAUCUGAGAAAAUGAAAUUUAAGAACACCUAAUCACAGUCAACUAGAUUUCCCCAAAUAAGGCACCUGCUUAAGCCAUAACCGGUCACACAGUUUCCCAGUUUUGCUCCUGCGUCUAUAAACACCUCUCCCUUUUCUCCUGCCAGCACAGCACUCCUCAUGUUUCAGUGUGGUCCUGCCUGGCUCCAGGCGGUGUUUGUUCAAAUAUAAACUCUUCAAAAAUGUAAUGUACCUCAGUUUACCUCUUAAAAGGCCUAAAAGCUAAGAAGGGUUUUUACAUUUUUAAAUGGGAAAAAUGACUAUUUUAUGACGUUUGAAAAGUAUGUUGAAAUCACAUUUCAGUGUGACCAAAUAAAGUUUAUUGGAACAGAGCUGGCCCUUUUGUGUGCAGGCUGGCUCUGCCCACUCUUGUAUUCAAGGGCCAAGUUCACACUUGCUGGUCUUGCCUUGUUAACUUGGGUAAAAUCUUCAUGCCCUCCAACCUUUGAGGAAUUACUUUUCCUCUCAACUCUUAGUGCGGUUUGUUCAUAUAAAUGUCCCAAUACAACCAGGAAUUCGAUAGAAACCACUCUAGAGUUUACAUUCCAGUCUAGAGCCUCCCCUGCACAAGUGUAGGGUGAGGAGUCCUUAGCUGCAUCCACGUGAGACAUGGGACACUGGCCUGCCCGGCAAGACUUUGUGAAAUCAAGCUGCCUCAGCACCUAAAAUGCCUGGAGCCCUUGAAGAGCAUCUGUGCGUGUCCUGUGAGCUGGUGGCCCUUUGGCAGAGGGGGUGGAGGAGGGCCACCUGUGGGAUAGUGCAAGGUUUUGGGCAUUCUGUUCUACUUUAAAAGGUAUUUUCCAACAUGGGCUUCAGUAGAUGUAACCGUGAACGUUUUUAAGAAUACCCAGAACUCUAUUUCAGAGUAGAUAUUAAAAUACCUUGGAUUUUUUUUUUUUUUUUGAAGCAAUAAGCCCAUAAUUUUGACUUGAAACUACUUUUUACUCAAUCAGGCUAAGCUUUGAUUCAUGACAUUGGAUUGGAACCACCAAGCUUCCUGGAAGCUUCACAAAGGUGUGGGGGGUGCAGAGCCCAGCGUCUGGCUGCUUGCAAGCAACAUUGGCAGAACCGACAACCCUUGUGACCUGGAAAGCUGAAAUAUUCCCUUGCAGCCGUCCCCUGCUGCAGCAGCUCUGCGGAGCAGCAGUGAGAAACGGAGGGGAGGCCACCUUGCAGGUGCUGUGGGAGGGGCAGCGUGGUUAGGGCUGCCUUGUCCAGCCCACCAUGGAUGGAGAACAAUGCUCUGACCCCACUGUUACUGACUGAGAGACCAAAAGCACAGACUGUCUCUUCUGGUAAACGGCUGGUGAGUGGGCAGAACAUUACACCCCCACGUGUCUGGAGCCCAGCAGGAGCAGAUUGCAUGUGACCAGGUGCUGUGCCUGCAAGGGGCUGAGGGCCCUCCCAGAGUCUGCUGACUCUCAGAGUGGACACACCAAUGCACCAAACUGCCAAGCAAUCCCGGUCGGUCCGAUGCACAAGGAUGGGGUAGGGGGUGGUCCCUGCAACCCACAGGCAGAGCGAGGGCGUGCAGAUCUGGGCACUUGCCCACUAUCUGACUCCUGUAACUCUGAGCCUCCAUCGGCCUGUCUGUGAGUGGAAGUGUCCUCUACCUGCAAGAACUGCUGAGAGGCUUGAUGUGGGCUCCAAGUGAGAGCUCUGUCCUCCCUGCGAGGGCCUCUUGGGAAGGCGCUGUGCGUGUUUCUCAUAGAUGCCGACAGUAGGGUGGCCUGGGAAGUGCUCCUCCUCUCUGCUCAGGUGUAUUUUUGAGGACCAUGGGGGCCCAGCCACGUGGCCCUUUGGUGGCACUACAGCGUGGAGCUUCCUGCUGGGGCGUAAAAGCCUGGCUCAGAUCCUAGGGCUCCAUUCCUGGUUGCACCUACCGAAUUCCAAGAAUCCUGCACAGCAGAAGCCCCUGAAUCUCCAUGGCUUUCAGCCCUAAACGUGUGUCCUCCUUCUGGGGCCAGUAGCCACUCAAGGCACGUGAGCCAGCAGGGAGAGCCUCUUGAAGCCCCCCCGGCUGAACCUCCUUGCCCCUCCCAGUCACUUGCCCAGUCAGUAGACCAGGGACACUGCCACAGGGAAGCCCCAUCCAGGUGGGGAGGGAAGGUGGACAGCACCCCCACCAGCUGUUUGACAUCGGGCAACUCUCUAACCUCUAUGCGUUAUCACCUGUGAAGCGGGGGAACUUCACACUUGUGAGUUAAAGUUGUACCUAGACUGCUCAGCACCUGUUGGUUACACCUGUAAUUUCUUUGUGCAUCACCAGGGACUGGCCCGUGAAGGUUGAGGAGGCUGUGCUUUGGCAGUAAUAUCAAGGGCUUUAAAAUGUUCUGCCUCAUCUGUUCCCACUUCUAAACAGUUUCAGUAUAAAAUGGUUUUACCACUAA